GACUUCUUAUGGAUGGGAGCUGAGUGAGUUUGAACCGCGUAGCAGCUAGGGCCAGGAGCCUAGUCGUGCCUGAGAUCUUGUACGCUGGGAUAGAGGGGUUGACUGUGUCUGAGGCCCCUGAGGGUAGUGACCUGGCGUCUGGGUGAACCUGAGAUUGCUGCUGGCUGGAUAGUCUGAGACCCACAGGUGCUGGGAACAUGCUGCUGGGUGGUCAAACAGAGAGUCUGUACGGUUAUAUGCACCCCAGGAGAGGCUGAGGUGUAAAAUGGGCUCCCCUGGUCUCCACAGAGCUUGGCAGAGCUGAGAGAUCAGCGGCAGGGGGAGCGCCUGGAACAUGCAGCAGCUUUGCGGGCCCUACAAGAUCAGGUAUCCAUCCAGAGUGCAGAUGCACAGGAACAAGUGGAAGGGCUUUUGGCUGAGAACAAUGCCUUGAGGACUAGCCUGGCUGCCCUGGAGCAGGUAAAGAACACCUGGGGGCCCUUGCUGAUCCCUCUCCAGUUCCCCCAUCUCCAUCUGCUUCUGGUCCACAUCAGGGUAGGGCGGUCUGGACCCCAUGCUGUUCUCCUGUUUCUGUUGCUCCUUUCUGUUGGAGUCCAGCCCUCUUCUCUCUGGC
rnacentral:lncRNA from 1 species